CACACACAUCUCCACACUCAGCGUACGACAUCUUCCCUGUUGCUGUUCUGGACUCAGACAAAAUUUGUGUUUCUACACUUAUUGUUCAAAAAAGUAGAAGCUCUUAGGAUCUGAAUUUACAAACAAAUAUCAAAAUGUUAUGUUCUGCUAAUGAUAUUGCACUGAAUUUAAUUGCACUAAAUUAAGUUUUUACAUAUCUUUCGUAAAAGUUCGUCAGAGUAUGAAAAUGUCGAUACAAUUUGUCAUGAAUAACUUAAAUUUUAAGAUUUUCGCGCAUAAAAUUAUGACGCGCGCUGUGUGUGCAGCGGCGUAAUUCACUACUCGUAUAGCCGUCUCGCUUCUUCUUGUGUGUCCUUUACCGUUGCUCACCGCUUCAAGAACAUUGCUGCUCACACACACGUCAGUCUGUGGCAAACAAUUGGAGGGGGAGGAUGUGUCGGUUUGCUCCAGAAAUCGUGUGUGAUUUUGGUGUUCCGGAUUUGGUUCCAUCGCUGUUUGUUUUGGUGGUAUUGUAAAGGUAAGAAUCAUCAACCGAUGUAAAAGUGUGAGAGUAAGAUGAUGCUGAUGGUGACUGAUGCUUUUCUUUGUUUCUUUUCCUGCUUUCAUCCACUGAUGGCGUCGAGCAUCGCCGAGGAUGUGAUCGAAUGCGGAAAAUUCUAAACGAGGAGCUUCAUUCCGGAUUUUGUUUGCAAUAAGCGCUGAAAUCAUCCUCCACCUUACAACGAACGGUCAACGGAUGAGGAAGGAGAGGAGGGACGGCAAAGGUACACGCACAAACGUGCACACAUCAGCCUUCUCUGUGAACGAGAACACGGGAGGGGGAGG